ACCUCCCCAUCAUGCUGACUUCCGAAACUCGGGCCUGGCUCACUGGUCUCCCCGAGCACACCAUCUACAGCUGGGCUGAGCUCAAGGCUCACUU
rnacentral:snoRNA from 1 species